GUCUUGGAGAGAGGGAGGUGAUAAGAGGAGCAGGAGGACGCUGUGGAUGAAGCUGAGGAAACUGUUCUUUUCAGUUUCUCCUUUUCCGAGAACAGACUCUGGGUACCAGGAGCAGGCAGAGGCACAUCUGGGACCUCGGGAAAUGGUGCAUUUCACAUUACUGGAAGCUGCAGCUGAUGGUGUGUUUGGAGUAAACAGAAGAGGAACUGGGCAGUUACAAUGAGCAGUGAAAGUCACAUCAGCUGCACAGAAGAGGAGGAGCUCCUUUGACAAAAAGCCAGACUCCUUACCUGCCACGGCGUGAGGAUCCAUACUGAACUCACUGUGGUCGACCGUCCCCUGAUCCAGACAACUUUUCAGCCUCUUCACCACCGAGGCUGCUGCAGCCAGACGAAACAGACCCUGAGGGAACAAAUUUUUUUUUUUUUUUUAAAAAGGAAGGAAAAGUGAUCAGUUGGAAGAGAUUUUGUUUGUUUGAAGUCCAGACUCAGACCAGGUGUAGUGAGUUUUAAUCAAGGUCAGAUGCAAACAAAGCUAAGACUGCAGAGAGCAGUGAGCAUAAAUAACCCCAAGCAGUCCACUAACUAUACCGUCCACUAAUUAUACAACAAAUGCCACAAAAAUAUUUAAGAGUGUACAUAUUUCUUAAACUCAAUCUUUUAUUAUGUCUUUGUACUUUGCAAGCGCCUACAGAAGGCAAACUCUGCAGGCAUGACCUGAGGAAUGACAAGGCCAGUCAGUUCACUAUGUUGAUCCAGACUAAAAUAACUAACAGGCCUGGACUUUGUGUUUAAUAAAGCGAACACAUGCUACACGAAGAUGGUGAACAUGAUGCUUCACAUCAGUAUCAGUAGUGGUGCAGUACAGUGGUGGAAAAAAGUUUUCGGACACUCUUAAAAUUUUACACAAUCUCAAAUAUUAUCAUGAGCUAUUUGUGGAAAAGUCUUUUUUGUGUUUCAAAAGGCGUGGCUCCAUUAGACAGACACAAACAAAUACAAAUUAUAUUUUUUUGUUUAUUGUUUACAAGAAAAAACAACAAAACUAAAUUCUUGAAAGUUUCAAAUAUGGCACUUCUCAACAUUGUCG